UACUUAAGGGCAGCAAGAAAGAGGGACUUCCUAGCAGUUUCAGAUUGUGCUGAUGGCUUUGCUAUCAACUACAAAAUGAAAAAUAAAUAAAUAAAUGAAACCUCGGCUUGAUCAUGUCGAGGACGUGCAUCCACACAUCGUUAAAGUACACAAGAUGGUAACAAUACUGUAUAUACUUCUUAAACUGCUCUGAAGUGGAGGCAAGCCACAAAGGUAUCAAUCUCUGGCUUCACAGUCAAGACUGCCAUUGUUCCAAUACGUGUGAAAACGGAGACGCAAAAAAGCUGGCCAUUCCUUUGCAUGCAAUACAUAACUUCACCGAUAGAGCUCGUGGAAGUGACGUCACCAUUUUCACAGCGCCAUAUUGCCGGCCAAACAGAGCUGCUCGACAUUGUGGGAGACAGUGAACCAGAGGAGAAUAUUUACAAUACCCAAGACCUGUUGUGCUGUUGGUUGUCACAACAGACCAGACAGAUAUUCAAAGAGAUCAUUCUAUGGAAUACCAGCUGAAAAGACCGGAAAAUAUCGAUGGAUUUCAGUAAUUAAACAUGAUGGAUGGUGGCCAACCAAAAUACACACACGCCUGUGUAGCGAUUGCUUCAUUUCAGGUAGGAUUUAUUCUUCUCAUUCUCAAAUUACCCAAAAAUAUUUAUAAUGCCAAGUUGGCUCAUAUGAGAACAAUGCGUAUGAAAAAUAAAAUUGUCUGUCGCAGAGGUUUACGGAGGUAAGGUCUGACCUCAAUCACUUCCAUGUACGUUCCAUGGAGACGACCAUGUCCUUUUUUUUCAAUAUAGUUAAUGAAUACGAGUUUGUGUGAAACCAGGGGUCAUUUAUUUAAAUAUUGGUAUUCGUAUUAGAUACUAGCUGAAAGGAUCAAUGGAUUCCGGCAACGGUUAACGUGUUGCCGAAAACACUUCUGUGUUCACGAGCCGUCAAAACCGUCACUAUGUGGGAUUUCUUCCUGAUGAGAACAGAUCCAGCAACAAAGCAUUCGUAUGCGUCCAGACUUUUAUACGCUUUCAAACUUUUCCGUGUAAAUCUCAACGACUUAUUCACCAGAUCCAUAUGUAUAUCCAGUUGUCCAAAACAAGCAGAAGCGGAUUAACAGUCCAAUUUCUUAUCGGCGAAAACAUUGAUUUCAGCAAUAAAUACGGGUCCUUUAUGCUGAGUUUAUCUAAUUUUUCCACGUACCGUCGUUUAUUUUCACCUUCUAAAUGUCUGGCGGUAUUGGACAAGACUCUGGGCGUCGGGCUACAAGACAUAUAUCCGUGUCAUCUCCAACUGACUUACCAUUGAGGAAUGCUUAGCUUGACCGGCAAUAUGGUGAGGUAAACAAAAGUCACGUGAUUUUAUUACGUAAGUGCACAAGCUCUAUGCAUGGGUGUCAUUCUCACACAGGGUCCCUUUGAGAAUUACAAGAACUGUGCUGCACACAAAAUACCAUAUUUCUGGCGUAGAAGCAGGCAUGAAUCUAAUGUACAACACAAGUUGCACCAUUAGUAAAUAGUGAAGCUUAUUUAACACCUAAUUGUGAUACAAUAAAAAAAAAAAAACAGUUAACAGUAAGACGGCACAAUGAGCAUGCCAACCAAUGGGCAUUUCUUUGUGUAGGUAGUAUGUGUUUGAGAUUGAUAUUCUACAUUUAAGGAAGCAGGAGCAUCAUCUAAUUUUAUUUAGUCUUUCGACAAACACAAGAUCAAGAAAUCGGAUUGUACAGAAGGGGAUUUACUGCAGUGGCAGAGGCUUCACCAGUCUAGUUAGCAUGCUGCACCUC